rnacentral:rRNA from 1 species
AAAUAAAUAGCCUUUUAAUUGGAGGCCAGUGAAUGGCAAGACUAGGGACAUCUGUACCCUGUAUAUAAAAACAACUUUUCAUCUGGGUGAAAAGACCCAAAUAAUAAAGGAAGACGAAAAGACCCCGCGGAACUUUACCUUUUCCAGUCUCCACAUGCUCAGAAACAUAAGAACAAAAGGUUUGAUUGGGGCAAUCUCGGAACCACCAAAACUUCCGACUCAUAAGAAAUAAGCAUAUAAAACUUGAUAAGGACCAAAAAGAAGUUACCCCGGGGAUAACAGCGUAAUCCAACUUGAGAGUACACAUCGAAAGCUGGG